rnacentral:rRNA from 1 species
AGUGAACGCUGGCGGUAGGCCUAACACAUGCAAGUCGAACGGCAGCACAGUAAGAGCUUGCUCUUACGGGUGGCGAGUGGCGGACGGGUGAGGAAUACAUCGGAAUCUACUUUUUCGUGGGGGAUAACGUAGGGAAACUUACGCUAAUACCGCAUACGACCUACGGGUGAAAGCAGGGGAUCUUCGGACCUUGCGCGAUUGAAUGAGCCGAUGUCGGAUUAGCUAGUUGGCGGGGUAAAGGCCCACCAAGGCGGCGAUCCGUAGCUGGUCUGAGAGGAUGAUCGGCCACACUGGAACGGAGACACGGUCCAGACUCCUACGGGAGGCAGCAGUGGGGAAUAUUGGACAAUGGGCGCAAGCCUGGUCCAGCCAUACCGCGUGGGUGAAGAAGGCCUUCGGGUUGUAAAGCCCUUUUGUUGGGAAAGAAAAGCAGCAGGUUAAUACCCCGCGGUUCUGACGGUACCCAAAGAAUAAGCACCGGCUAACUUCGUG